rnacentral:misc_RNA from 1 species
GAUGAAGAACGUAGCGAAAUGCGAUAAGUAAUGUGAAUUGCAGAAUUCAGUGAAUCAUCGAAUCUUUGAACGCACCUUGCGCCCCUUGGUUAUUCCAAAGGGCAUGCCUGUUUGAGUAUCAUGAACACCUCAACUCUUGUGGUUUCCCACAAUGAGCUUGGACUGUGGAGGUUUUGUUGGCCCUGUGGUCAGCUCCUCUCAAAUGGAUCAGCUUACCGGUGUUUGGUGGCAUUACGGGUGUGAUAACUAUCUACGCUAGUGGUCGUCUCCAAAUACCCUCCAGUGAUGGAGGUUCGCUGGAGCUUAUAAAUGUCUCUCCCCAGUGAAGACAGCCUUUGAACGUUCGAUCUCAAAUCAGGUAGGACUACCCGCUGAACUUAAGCAUAUCAAUAAGCGGAGGA